UUUGCCUGUGCCGUGCUGUUUGGCUUUUCAUUUAUUAAGCACUCUAUAAAAAGACUGCCAAAAAAACACCAAAUAUGGGGACACAUGAGCUUCCAUUCGCAGUAUUUGCUAUAGAAAAUUAACAACAACAACAAAAACAGAAAAUAAAAAUAUAAAAUCAAAAAAAAACUGUGAUUAAAGUUCAUCAGAUAGCCCUGUGUUGUCCUUUCAAACAAACACCAACAUCAAUGUUUAUUCUCAGUGUUAUCUCUACAUUUUUUUAAAACAUCCAUACGCAACGCAAGGACCAAAUCUCACACAUGUCAUACCAGCAGUCUCCAAUCUAUAAUAUAUCCUAUCCUCGAUGUCCUUACAUAACAACAGCAUCCCCGAAAGAAGAGCCUUUUCAAAAAAGUAUCCUCAUAUAUUCUAUGCUGUGCUGUGCUAUAAGGGUUCGGUGAUUCUCAAAUGAAAAAUAAGGAUUUUUAGAAAUAAAACUGCUUUCGCAGCGGUACACAUAAAAGUAAAACUUUUAAAAUAUAAAUGAAAGUUAAAAAAAAAUCUAAAAUUUUAGAAGCCUUUCUAAAUCAAAACACUAUGCCGCUAUUUUCACAUGAACGGCCACGAGCCAUACAAACAAUCCUACAGUAUCUGUGCAAAGAUAAUGAUGAAGUGAGAGGAUGGAGAAGAACCCUUCCUUCUGUGUUUUCUGUAUGUUUUUUUUUUAAUAUACUCUGUUGUCAUUCGUGUGGACUAUGGGACUAUGCACGGCUAUGGCCUGGUGAUGGUAGAGUACUUGCAAUUAACACUCAUCCCCAAACUUAUACUCUCGUUGUGUAUAUAUGGGGGUAUAUCCUUUCUGAUUUACUCCUACGCUAUACGAGUAAACGUAUAUCGUUUCGUUGCUGAGCUGAGCUUUCUUCGAUAAGGCAAACACGCAGCAGUUUCCAUAGGAAAGGUAUGUUCUAAAUGUCCAUAGCCCGUAGCUACGCCCACCCACCUUGAGGGGUUUAUUGUCAUGAGAAACGAACUAAAACACGUUCACAGCCCCACAUUUUCGAAAAUCCUGUUUUGCCCAUACCACUUUGGGAGUUCUAUGAAACGCAAAAUCAAGUAACAUGAAGUGAUGUUGAUGUUAUUUUGGGCUAGAUACUCGAACUUUUUUGACACUGGGGAUGGAAAGUUUUGUAACAAUUUCUAUGUAGUUUAAUAUAUGUGGGUUUUAAAGCUCAAAAUUAAAAGGUGUUUUUUGUUUUGACUUUAAUUUCUAAUCUUUAAAAUCUAAAAUUUCUAGAAAAACAAAAUUUUAAAAAAGCUAAUUUUUCAACACAGUAUACAGCUGUCAACUGUCAAUAUUCGUAUGUUCGUAUUGAAAAUCCCUUCAUUUGCUCCGAUAAGUUAACUUUACUUCUAAACAUAAAAAAUAGAACAACGGUAUAGACUAUUAUGUUCAAAAAGCAGCACAUUUGAAACAUAGUUUCAUGGAAUUUUUCAAAAAACGUUGAGUAAAAAUGUAUCUUUACAUGGAAACAGAUUUUUACAAACAAACUUCUUCUCCGUAAAUCUUGUACAGUUGUGUUUAAAAAAAGAGGAACAUAUUUUAGGUAAAACUAUGUCUAUGCGAGUGGUGUCGAGAGCUCCAGAGCUCCUAAAGACCUUGAGCCCUAUCUACAACAAAUUAAAAAUAUAAAAAAGCGAGAUUAAAUAUACAUACAGGCUAGGUACAAAAUCUCCCUUUUUUGUGGAGCAGGAGCAUCAUUUCAGUAGUUGUUGGGUGCGACAUAGGGCGUUUAUGAUGGCAACUUAAUAGUAUUGGUUGUUUUUUGACAUCCUCCCCCUGCUGGUAUGUUGAUGCGAAAAAGGUAUGUACUUUCCUGCUUCGUAACCAGGACUAGGACCAGAACCAGGACCAUGCAGGCGUACAGCUACAGGCGGGGGUUUACAUCAGGUUUACAAAUGACGACGAUGAGGACGACUAUACGACCCGAGGAACGGAUAGUACACCUUUACGUAGGUAUAUUGUUGUUAGGCUGGGCUGUGAAUCGAAAUACGAAAUACCUUCCUCAUCUAUAGUGAUGUAGGUAGGUACACAACGAUUUUAUUGAUUUAUACUUUCCAAUGGUGUAGUAGUGCGAUUGCGAUACGCAGCAAGAAGGAUAUGAUGUUGUACGAGUGAGAGUGCGGCAAGGAGCAUUUCAG